rnacentral:rRNA from 1 species
GACGAACGCUGGCGGCGUGCUUAACACAUGCAAGUCGAACGGAAAGGCCCUGCUUUUGUGGGGUGCUCGAGUGGCGAACGGGUGAGUAACACGUGAGUAACCUGCCCUUGACUUUGGGAUAACUUCAGGAAACUGGGGCUAAUACCGGAUAGGAGCUCCUGCUGCAUGGUGGGGGUUGGAAAGUUUCGGCGGUUGGGGAUGGACUCGCGGCUUAUCAGCUUGUUGGUGGGGUAGUGGCUUACCAAGGCUUUGACGGGUAGCCGGCCUGAGCGGGUGACCGGCCACAUUGGGACUGAGAUGCGGCCCAGACUCCUACGGGAGGCAGCAGUGGAGAAUAUUGCACAAUGGGCGGAAGCCUGAUGCAGCAACGCCGCGUGCGGGAUGACGGCCUUCGGGUUGUAAACCGCUUUCGCCUGUGACGAAGCGUGAGUGACGGUAAUGGGUAAAGAAGCACCGGCUAACUACGUG